ACGGACGCCGCUCCACUCCCCGCAACAGACUCCACGUGACAUGUCCUGGUGAUGGCCACGAUUCCACUCCAUUACUCUUCAUAAUAAAUUCUUCCUGGCCCCGAGUGGCCCACCACUAGGCGGUUACAAACGUCGCUAUCAAUCCAUUGCUCCCUCCGCCUAUAAAAAGGAGGGGCCCCAGAUACGUUACUCUCUAAGCUCUAAUUUUUAUCCCAAAGACUCUGCUAA
rnacentral:lncRNA from 1 species